AUUAGUUUUUUAAUUGAAGGCUAGAAUGAAUGGUUGGACAAGAAGCAAACUGUCUUUGGUUAAUAUAUUGAAUUUAACUUUUAAGUGAAAAGGCUUAAAUAAUCUGAAGGGACGAUAAGACCCUAUAAAACUUUAUAUUGAGAAGUAAUGGGCAGGUUUUGUUUAGAAGUUAUUAUUUUUAGAGUAUUUGGUUGGGGCGACAAGGAUAAAAAGAAAGUAACUGUUCUUUUAUUUUACAAUAAUGUUUGGGUAUAAUGAUCCUAAUAUGGAUUAAAGAUUAAGUUACUUUAGGGAUAACAGCGUAAUUUUCUUUGAGAGUUCUUAUCGAUAAGAGAGUUUGCGACCUCGAUGUUGAAUUAAAGGUUCUUUAUGGAGUAGAGACUAUAAGAGAAGGUCUGUUCGACCUUUAAAACUUUACAUGAUUUGAGUUCA
rnacentral:rRNA from 1 species